rnacentral:rRNA from 1 species
AGGACUAACGCUGGCGGCGUGCCUAACACAUGCAAGUCGAACGAGGUAGCAAUACCUAGUGGCAGACGGGUGAGUAACGCGUGGUCAACCUACCUCUUAGUGGGGGAUAACUAGCCGAAAGGUUAGCUAAUACCGCAUACGAUCGUCGCGAGGCAUCUCGUGACGAUGAAAGGAGCAAUUCGCUAAGAGAGGGGACUGCGUCCCAUUAGUUAGUUGGUGGGGUAAUGGCCUACCAAGACUCCGAUGGGUAGCUGGCUUGAGAGAGCGACCAGCCACACUGGAACUGAGACACGGUCCAGACUCCUACGGGAGGCAGCAGUGAGGAAUUUUCGGCAAUGGGGGAAACCCUGACCGAGCAACGCCGCGUGCAGGAAGACGGCCUUCGGGUUGUAAACUGCUUUUCUUUGGGACGAGCGAAGGACGGUACCGAGAGGAAUCGAGCCCCGGCUCACUACGUGCCAGCAGCCGC